CUAUAAUGUUUUUGUAACUUAUAAGCAGAAGGGUUUCAAGUAUUUGCUUUGUUAAAGAGACAAAAACAAGGAAAUCAAAUGUGCACCCUAGAGAAGAGAGGCAACAUCUACAUCCUAACUCUGACCGGCUCAGGCGAGCACCGGCUCAAUCCUACUCUCAUCGACUCCAUCAGGUCCGCUCUGCGUAGACUCCAUGCUGAGCCAACCUCUCCUUGCUCAGCUCUCAUCACCACUGCCCAUGGCAAAUUCUUCUCCAAUGGCUUUGACCUUGCCUGGGCACAAUCCUCUCAACAACGUCUUCAACUCAUGGAUUCAAAACUCAAAUUACUUGCAUCAGAUUUCAUAUCUCUUCCUAUGCCAACGAUAGCUGCAGUCACAGGCCAUGCAUCAGCAGCUGGAAUGAUCUUGGCACUGUGUCAUGACUAUGUCCUCAUGAAGAAAGACAGAGGGUUUCUCUACAUGAGCGAGAUGGAUAUUAGACUUGUUAUACCAGAAUGGUUCAUGGCUUUAUUGAAGUGCAAGACAGGGGAUCCUAACGUCAGGCGUGAGGUUAUCAUGACGGCCGCCAAAUUAACGGCUGAAAUGGCGGUGGUGAGAGGGAUUGUGCACUCUGCACAUGAUAGCGCAGAGGAGACGGUUGAUGCAGCAGUUAGGUUGGGAGAGGAGCUGGUGAAAAGAGGUUGGGAUGGUGAUGUAUAUGGGAAGAAUAGAAUGGUGCUUCUGAGCGAAGUUUCAAAGAAAAUUGAGCUGGAUCAUGAUACGGUAGAGGAGGAGAUGAAGACCAAGUCAAAACUGUAAUGGUGGUUGCUGAGAGAUGCCAAAUAGGGGAGUCAAAGUUGUAAUGCUUGGUAAAAUAUCGUAUUUGGCAUCUCUCAGCAACCACCAUUA
rnacentral:misc_RNA from 1 species